GAGGUGCAGCUGGUAGAGUCUGGGGGAGGCCUGGUGCAGCCUGGGGGGUCUCUGAGACUCUCCUGUGCAGCCUCUGGAUUCACCUUCAGUAGCUAGCUACUGGAUGCAUUGGGUCCGCCAGGCUCCAGGGAAGGGGCUGGAGUGGGUCUCACGUAUUGGUAGUGAUGGGAGUACCAUAUACUACGCCAACUCUGUGAAGGGCCGCUUCACCAUCUCCAGAGACAACGCCAAGAACAUGCUGUAUCUGCAAAUGAGCAGCCUGAGAGCCGAGGACACGGCCGUGUAUUACUGUGCAAGAGAC